AGCAACAACCUGCUAUAAGACGGCUGUUGACCCAAGGUACAGUAUACUGCACUAUCUCUGCACUAAACAAGGUACAGUAUACUGCACUAUCUCUACACUAAACAAGGUACAGUAUACUGCACUAUCUCUGCACUAAACAAGGUACAGUAUACUGAACUAUCUCUACACUAAACUAGGUACAGUAUACUGCACUAUCUCUGCACUAAACAAGGUACAGUAUACUGCACUCUGCACUAAUCAAGAUACAGUAUACUGCACUAUCUCUGCACUAAACAAGGUACAGUAUACUGCACUAUCUCUGCACUAAACAAGAUACAGUAUACUGCACUAUCUCUGCACUAAACAAGAUACAGUAUACUGCACUAUCUCUGCACUAAACAAGGUACAGUAUACUGCACUAUCUCUACACUAAACAAGGUACAGUAUACUGCACUAUCUCUGCACUAAACAAGGUACAGUAUACUGCACUAUCUCUGCACUAAACAAGGUACAGUAUACUGCGCUAUCUCUGCACUAAACAAGAUACAGUAUACUGCACUAUCUCUGCCCUAAACAAGAUACAGUAUACUGCACUAUCUUUGCACUAAACAAGGUACAGUAUACUGCACUAUCUGCAAUAAACAAGGUAGAGUAUACUGCACUAUCUCUGCACUAAACAAGAUACAGUAUACUGCACUAUAUCUGCACUAAAAAAUAUACAGUAUACUGCACUAAACAAGAUACAGUAUACUGCACUAUCUCUACACUAAACAAGGUACAGUAUACUGCACUAUCUCUGCACUACUCAAUGUACAGUAUACUGCACUAAACAAGAUACAGUAUACUGCACUAUCUCUGCACUUAACAAGAUACAGUAUACUGCACUAUCUGCACUAAACAAGGUAGAGUAUACUGCACUAUCUCUGCACUAAUCAAGGUACAAUAUACUGCACUAAACAAGAUACAGUAUACUGCACUAUCUCUGCACUAAACAAGAUACAGUAUACUGCACUAUCUCUGCACUAAUCAAGGUACAGUAUACUGCACUAAUCAAGGUACAGUAUACUGCACUAUCUCUGCACUAAACAAGAUACAGUAUACUGCACUAUCUCUGCACUAAUCAAGGUACAGUAUACUGCACUAUCUCUGCACUAAACAAGAUACAGUAUACUGCACUAUCUCUGCACUAAUCAAGGUACAGUAUACUGCACUAUCUCUGCACUAAACAAGAUACAGUAUACUGCACUAUCUCUGCACUAAACAAGGUACAGUAUACUGCACUAUCUCUGCACUAAACAAGAUACAGUAUACUGCACUAUCUCUGCACUAAACAAGGUACAGUAUACUGCACUAUCUCUGCACUAAACAAGGUACAGUAUACUGCACUAUCUCUGCACUAAACAAGGUACAGUAUACUACACUAUCUCUGCACUAAACAAGGUACAGUAUACUACACUAUCUCUGCACUAAUCAAGGUACAGUAUACUGCACUAUCUCUGCACUAAACAAGGUACAGUAUACUGCACUAUCUCUGCACUAAUCAAGGUACAGUAUACUACACUAUCUCUGCACUAAACAAGGUACAGUAUACUGCACUAUCUCUGCACUAAUCAAGGUACAGUAUACUACACUAUCUCUGCACUAAUCAAGGUACAGUAUACUACACUAUCUCUGCACUAAUCAAGGUACAGUAUACUGCACUAUCUCUGCACUAAUCAAGGUACAGUAUACUGCACUAUCUCUGCACUAAUCAAGGUACAGUAUACUGCACUAUCUCUGCACUAAUCAAGGUACAGUAUACUACACUAUCUCUGCACUAAACAAGGUACAGUAUACUGCACUAUCUCUGCACUAAACAAGGUACAGUAUACUGCACUAUCUCUGCACUA